rnacentral:misc_RNA from 1 species
UCUCCGUAGGUGAACCUGCGGAGGGAUCAUUACUGAGUGAGGGUCUCCGGGCCCUACCUCCAACCCUUUGUGAAUCGUACUUGUUGCUUCGGGGGCGACCCUGCCGUCCGCGGCUGAGCGCCCCCGGGGUCAAUCAAACACUGCAUUCUCUGCGUCGGAGUAUUAGUAAAUCUAAUCAAAACAUUCAACAACGGAUCUCUUGGUUGUGGCAUCGAUGAAGAACGCAGC